GUUAAGUGACGAAGCGUAUACGGUGGAUGCCUUGGCAGUUAGAGGCGAUGAAGGACGUGUAAGUCUGCGAAAAGCUGUGGUGAGCCGACAAAAUGCAUUUGAGCCACAGAUGUCCGAAUGGGGAAACCCACCUAUUUAUAGGUAUCGUUACAUGAAUACAUAGUGUAACGAGGCAAACGAGGGGAACUGAAACAUCUAAGUACCCUUAGGAAAAGAAAUCAACCGAGAUUCCCCAAGUAGCGGCGAGCGAAAGGGGAUUAGCCCUUAAGUUACAGUAGGUUUAGCAGAACGCUCUGGAAAGUGCGGCGAUAGA
rnacentral:rRNA from 1 species